rnacentral:rRNA from 1 species
AGAGUUUGAUCCUGGCUCAGGAUGAACGCUGGCGGCGUGCCUAACACAUGCAAGUCGAGCGUGAUUGUUAUGAGUGGAGACUUCGGUCAAAGCGAGUAACAUGAAAGCGGCGGACGGGUGAGUAACGCGUGGGCAACCUGCCCCAUACACGAGGAUAGCCACUGGAAACGGUGAUUAAUACUCGAUAAGACCACACUGCCACAUGGUAGAGCGGCCAAAGAUUUAUCGGUAUGGGAUGGGCCCGCGUCUGAUUAGCUAGUUGGUGAGGUAACGGCUCACCAAGGCGACGAUCAGUAACCGACCUGAGAGGGCGGACGGUCACACUGGAACUGAGACACGGUCCAGACUCCUACGGGAGGCAGCAGUGGGGAAUAUUGCACAAUGGGCGCAAGCCUGAUGCAGCAACGCCGCGUGAGUGAAGAAGGCCUUCGGGUCGUAAAGCUCUGUCCUGUGGGACGAAAAAAAUGACGGUACCACAGGAGGAAGCCCCGGCUAACUACGUGCCAGCAGCCGCGGUAAUACGUAGGGGGCAAGCGUUAUCCGGAAUCACUGGGCGUAAAGGGUGCGUAGGUGGUUCUUCAAGUCAGAAGUGAAAGGCAGUGGCUUAACCACUGUAAGCUUUUGAAACUGAGGAACUUGAGUGCAGGAGAGGUAAGUGGAAUUCCUAGUGUAGCGGUGAAAUGCGUAGAUAUUAGGAGGAACACCAGUGGCGAAGGCGACUUACUGGACUGUUACUGACACUGAGGCACGAAAGCGUGGGGAGCAAACAGGAUUAGAUACCCUGGUAGUCC